CGGGAAGUGGCGCAGUCUGGUAGCGCACUUGGUUUGGGACCAAGGGGCCGCAGGUUCGAAUCCUGUCUUCCCGACCA
rnacentral:tRNA from 1 species